rnacentral:rRNA from 1 species
AGAGUUUGAUCCUGGCUCAGGAUGAACGCUGACAGAAUGCUUAACACAUGCAAGUCUUUGGCGAAGCUGUGCUUGCACAGCCUAGCCAAGGCGGACGGGUGAGUAACGCGUAAGGAACUUGCCCUGCAGUCAGGGAUAACAGACGGAAACGACUGAUAAGACCUGGUAAAGUCAGGCGGACUCAUGUCCAGCCUGAUGAAAAGAGAUGCUGCAGGAGAGCCUUGCGUCCUAUUAGCUUGUUGGUGGGGUAACGGCCCACCAAGGCGAUGAUAGGUAGCCGGCCUGAGAGGGUGGACGGCCACAAGGGGACUGAGAUACGGCCCUUACUCCUACGGGAGGCAGCAGUGGGGAAUAUUGGACAAUGGGGGCAACCCUGAUCCAGCAAUUCUGUGUGCACGAAGACGGUUUUCGGAUUGUAAAGUGCUUUCAGCAGGGAAGAAGGAAGUGACGGUACCUGCAGAAGAAGCGACGGCUAAAUACGUGCCAGCAGCCGCGGUAAUACGUAUGUCGCAAGCGUUAUCCGGAAUUAUUGGGCAUAAAGGGCAUCUAGGCGGCCAGAUAAGUCUGGGGUGAAAACUUGCGGCUCAACCGCAAGCCUGCCCUGGAAACUAUGUGGCUAGAGUACUGGAGAGGUGGACGGAACUGCACGAGUAGAGGUGAAAUUCGUAGAUAUGUGCAGGAAUGCCGAUGAUGAAGAUAGUUCACUGGACGGUAACUGACGCUGAAGUGCGAAAGCUAGGGGAGCAAACAGGAUUAGAUACCCUGGUAGUCCUAGCUGUAAACGAUGAUUACUGGGUGUGGGCAUGAAGAGUGUCUGUGCCGAAGCUAAUGCGAUAAGUAAUCCGCCUGGGGAGUACGACCGCAAGGUUGAAACUCAAAGGAAUUGACGGGGACCCGCACAAGCGGUGGAGCAUGUGGUUUAAUUCGACGCAACGCGAGGAACCUUACCAGAUCUUGACAUCCUGCGAAGGCCUGCGAGAGCAGGCUGUGCCUCCGGGAACGCAGAGACAGGUGGUGCAUGGCUGUCGACAGCUCGUGUCGUGAGAUGUUGGGUUAAGUCCCGCAACGAGCGCAACCCCU